rnacentral:rRNA from 1 species
UACGAAGGGGGCUAGCGUUGCUCGGAAUUACUGGGCGUAAAGCGCACGUAGGCGGAUUGCUAAGUCGGGGGUGAAAUCCUGGAGCUCAACUCCAGAACUGCCUUCGAUACUGGCGAUCUCGAGUCCGGGAGAGGUGAGUGGAACUGCGAGUGUAGAGGUGAAAUUCGUAGAUAUUCGCAAGAACACCAGUGGCGAAGGCGGCUCACUGGCCCGGUACUGACGCUGAGGUGCGAAAGCGUGGGGAGCAAACAGG